CCUACGGGGGGCAGCAGUGGGGAAUAUUGCACAAUGGGGGAAACCCUGAUGCAGCGACGCCGCGUGAGUGAAGAAGUAUUUCGGUAUGUAAAGCUCUAUCAGCAGGGAAGAAAAUGACGGUACCUGAUUAAGAAGCCCCGGCUAACUACGUGCCAGCAGCCGCGGUAAUACGGAGGGGGCAAGCGUUAUCCGGAUUUACUGGGUGUAAAGGGGGCGUAGACGGCAGCACAAGUCUGGAGUGAAAUGCCGGGGCUUAACCCCGGAACUGCUUUGGAAACUGUGCAGCUUGAGUGCAGGAGAGGUAAGUGGAAUUCCUAGUGUAGCGGUGAAAUGCGUAGAUAUUAGGAGGAACACCAGUGGCGAAGGCAGCUUACUGGACUGUAACUGACGCUGAGGCUCGAAAGCGUGGGGAGCAAACAGGAUUAGAUACCCUGGUAGUC
rnacentral:rRNA from 1 species